UACGUAGGGGGCAAGCGUUGUCCGGAAUCAUUGGGCGUAAAGAGCGUGUAGGCGGUCCGGUAAGUCGGCUGUGAAAGUCCAGGGCUCAACCCUGGGAUGCCGGUGGAUACUGUCGAGCUCGAGUCCGGAAGAGGCGAGUGGAAUUCCUGGUGUAGCGGUGAAAUGCGCAGAUAUCAGGAGGAACACCAAUGGCGAAGGCAGCUCGCUGGGACGGUACUGACGCUGAGACGCGAAAGCGUGGGGAGCAAACAGG
rnacentral:rRNA from 1 species